rnacentral:rRNA from 1 species
AUUGAACGCUGGCGGCAGGCCUAACACAUGCAAGUCGAGCGGAUGAGAGGAGCUUGCUUCUCGAUUCAGCGGCGGACGGGUGAGUAAUGCCUAGGAAUCUGCCUGGUAGUGGGGGACAACGUUUCGAAAGGAACGCUAAUACCGCAUACGUCCUACGGGAGAAAGCAGGGGACCUUCGGGCCUUGCGCUAUCAGAUGAGCCUAGGUAGGAUUAGCUAGUUGGUGAGGUAAUGGGUCACGAAGGCGACGAUCCGUAACUGGUCUGAGAGGAUGAUCAGUCACACGGGAACUGAGAAACGGUCCAGACUCCUACGGGAGGCAGCAGUGGGGAAUAUUGGGCAAUGGGCGAAAGCCUGAUCCAGCCAUGCCGCGUGUGUGAAGAAGGUCUUCGGAUUGUAAAGCACUUUAAGUUGGGAGGAAGGGUUGUAGAUUAAUACUCUGCAAUUUUGACGUUACCGACAGAAUAAGCACCGGCUAACUCUGUGCCAGCCGCCGCGGUAAUA